rnacentral:lncRNA from 1 species
GUCAUUUUGAAAGUCUAUUCUACUCAGGAAGAAUGAAGACCAAGGCUUCUGAAAAAUACGGAUUCUGGGACUCAUCCCAAGCAAAUCUACCCAGAAUAUGUGGCUGGAACAUGUUGGUGAACUUGCAGAACUGUCCAUGCAAUUCUAGUCUUCAGUCACCAUGAAGAGCACUGGUCCAGAGGGUCCUCUUAACGUCUUGCUCAUAUUGGACAGUGACAUCAUCAGUCUUCACGUCUCCAAGUUUCCACAAGUUGACACUUUCCUCCAUAUUCUGUAUCCCAUCAGUUCCAAAGCUGUCUAA